UUCUAUUCAGUUCAGUCUCACACACACACACACACACACUCUCUCUCUCUCCCACUCGAAUCUCAGAGAGACCGACUGAGAGAUCUCGAAGUCUUCCUAUGGCUCUCUUAGACCAGCAUCAUGGAUGAUCCUGGUUGCCGACCUACGCCGCUAAAGCUACACACUUGAAUCAAAACAAUAUCUUCUUUCUCGUCUAAUUCAAGUUGUUGUUGGGUUGCCUAAAAUACACCGGCACUCUCUUUCUCACCUUUAUCAGUCAAUCAAUCAGGAGCUGUCAAGUUGAUAGCUGGAAAUUGGAAUCAGUUAUAGAUCUUUGAAACAAAGGCAAGUACUGAGGUUUCCUUUUACUCAUCACCUUAAUUUGCUUCAUUUAUUCUGUUACUUGCAAUAUAAGGGUGUUAGAUCGAUUAGUUUCAGGUCAGGAUUUGGCAAUGAAGAUGAAUCCCAACUGCUAACAGGUGUUUCUUUGAAGUAAACAUUGUAAGAGUCUUCUGUUUUGUUUUAGGUAACGAGCCCCUGCGUUUUAUUUCCUUUCAAGCUACUGGCUUACCAUUUGAGAUUCUUGAGAGGAUAUUUUUUGGGCAGGAGCACAUCAGUCAGAGGAGUUUGUGUAGUCUUGGUUGUAUUCAGUAGAAGAUAUCCAGUGAGAAAAAAUGUACCCAUUAGAAUAGAAUUUUUUUUAUUUUCAUUUGUAGGAUAUUUUUAAGCUUUUUAGUAUAGGUAUGGAUUAUGGAAUACUAUAUUGUAUUUGGUCACCUAUUAAUACAUUUUCGGCUGUGGUAUUUUGAAGCCCUUAAUACAAGAGCUGUCAGAAAAUGGGACCCAUAAAUAACAAACCAGAUU